GUGCUUGCUUCGGCAGCACAUAUACUAAAAUUGGAACGAUACGGAGGAGAUUAGCAUGGCCCCUGCGCAAGGAUGACACGCAAAUUUGUGAAGUGUUCCAUGUUUUU
ensembl:snRNA U6 U6 spliceosomal RNA